AUUAACCUGUGAUGCUGACUAUAGUGUGCCACCAGAUGUCGCUGUUGAGAUGCACAUCGUUCUAAAAUGGUCGAAUCUAAUGUUUUUUUCCGUUCGAGUCGCUGUACAAAAACAAAAGUCACUAGGCAGGAAACUUUGGGAAACUGGUUCUGCUGUCUGCCGCUGUGUCAGGUGUCCUGGGUUUGUUGACGGACUGCAGCUGUCCUGGCCGCUAGAGAGGUCAAGGAGAAACUGGCAGCUCUGAGUCUCAGUAUUGAAGAGCUCCCGUCCCUCUACACUACUCCACAGCCCCAGCUCAAGUAAGUGGAAUGAGAGGCGGGGCCAGUGGAACAGGGUGUGGCCGAGCUGAGGAAAUGGGCCGAGCUUUUCACCGACCAGUGUCAGUCACUCGUAGACUCAGUCACUGGUAUUUCUUCUAUUUACAAAGCCAUUUUGGGUUUACUACCUUUUUAUUUGUGCAUUUUUAUUGUUCAGAAAUGUGGUGGGUACUCUCUCUUCAUUCG